UACAGAGGGUGCAAGCGUUACUCGGAAUUACUGGGCGUAAAGCGUGCGUAGGCGGUUUGUUAAGUCUGCUGUGAAAUCCCCGGGCUCAACCUGGGAAUGGCAGUGGAUACUGGCAAGCUAGAGUGUGUCAGAGGAUGGUGGAAUUCCCGGUGUAGCGGUGAAAUGCGUAGAGAUCGGGAGGAACAUCAGUGGCGAAGGCGGCCAUCUGGGACAACACUGACGCUGAGGCACGAAAGCGUGGGGAGCAAACAGG
rnacentral:rRNA from 1 species